rnacentral:tRNA from 1 species
AAAUUUAGGUUAUUUAAACCAAAGGCCUUCAAAGCCUUAAAUAGGUAAGCCACCUAAUUUCUG